rnacentral:rRNA from 1 species
AUACGUAGGUGACAAGCGUUAUCCGGAUUUACUGGGCGUAAAGGGCGUGUAGGCGGUCUUGCAAGUCAGAAGUGAAAUUCCUGAGCUCAACUCGGGCGCUGCUUCUGAAACUGCAGGACUUGAGUGCUGGAGGGGAUAGCGGAAUUCCUAGUGGAGCGGUAAAAUGCGCAGAUAUUAGGAAGAACACCGGUGGCGAAGGCGGCUAUCCGGACAGUAACGGACGCUGAGGCGCGAAAGCGUGGGGAGCAAACAGGAUUAGAUCCCCGGGUAGUCCACGCCGUAAACGAUGAAUACUAGGUGUAGGGGGUAUCGACUCCCUCUGUGCCGCAGUUAACACAAUAAGUAUUCCGCCUGGGGAGUACGGCCGCAAGGUUGAAACUCAAAUGAAUUGACGGGG